rnacentral:rRNA from 1 species
UCGAGGAUCUUCUGCAAUGGGCGCAAGCCUGACAGAGCGACGCCGCGUGGGGGAGGAAGGCCUUCGGGUUGUAAACCCCUGUUGUCGGUUACGAAUGCCGGGACGCAAACAGCGUUACCGGUUGACUAAGGCCGAUGAGGAAGCCACGGCUAACUACGUGCCAGCAGCCGCGGUAAGACGUAGGUGGCGAGCGUUGUUCGGAAUCACUGGGCAUAAAGCGCACGUAGGCGGCCAAGUCAGUCAGGUGUGAAAUACCUCGGCUCAACCGAGGAACUGCGCCUGAUACUGCUUGGCUUGAGGUCCGGAGGGGAGAGUGGAAUUCCCGGUGGAGCGGUGAAAUGCGUAGAGAUCGGGAAGAACGCCGGCGGCGAAAGCGACUCUCUGGUCGGAAUCUGACGCUGAGGUGCGAAAGCUAGGGGAGCAAACGG